rnacentral:rRNA from 1 species
CGCCCAUACCGAAUCUGGUGAUGCUAACCGUCCGAGCCUGCUCCAUCGUCCUUCGGGACACCGGGGCAGGGGAGCGCGGGACCCGAGCUGGUAGUAGGUAAGCGUAUUAACA